rnacentral:rRNA from 1 species
AGGGCACGACACCGGAGAGGGAGCCUGAGAAACGGCUACCACAUCCAAGGAUGGCAGCAGGCGCGCAAAUUACCCAAUCCCGAUACAGGGAGGUAGUGACAAUAAAUAACAAUGCAGUUCCCAAUAGGGAUUUGCAAUUGGAAUGAGUACAAGUUAAAUCUCUUAACGAUUAACAAUUAGAGGGCAAGUCUGGUGCCAGCAGCCGCGGUAAUUCCAGCUCUAAUAGCGUAUACUAAAGUUGUUGCAGUUAAAAAGCUCGUAGUUGAAGUUCAGAACUAGGAGACGUUGGUCGGGCGUAUGCUCUGUACCAGCUUUCCUGUUCUCCCUAUGGGAUACUCACCUUUACUCUUAACUGGGCGAAGGUAAAAGCAUUGUAUGGUUGGGGCAACCUGGUCAUGCAGUGUGGAGUUCCCAUUCGUUUACUUUGAAUAAAUUAGGGUGUUCAAAGCAGGCAAAUAAAGAGCCUUGAAUACUACAGCAUGGGAUAACGGAAUACGAUUUCGGUUCAUAUUUCGUUGGUUUCUGGAGCCGAAGUAAUGAUUAAAAGGGAUAGUUGGGGGCAUUAGUAUUUAAUUGUCAGAGGUGAAAUUCUUGGAUUUAUGAAAGACUAACUUCUGCGAAAGCAUUUGCCAAGGAUGUUUUCAUUAAUCAAGAACGAAAGUUAGGGGAUCGAAGACGAUCAGAUACCGUCGUAGUCUUAACCAUAAACUAUGCCGACCAGCGAUUGGGAGACGUUAUUUGUAUGACUCCCCCAGCAGCUUGCGAGAAAUCACAAGUCUUUGGGUUCUGGGGGGAGUAUGGUCGCAAGGCUGAAACUUAAAGGAAUUGACGGAAGGGCACCACCAGGAGUGGAGCCUGCGGCUUAAUUUGACCCAACACGGGGAAACUUACCAGGUCCAGACAUAGUAAGGAUUGACAGAUUUGAGAGCUCUUUCUUGAUUCUAUGGGUGGUGGUGCAUGGCCGUUCUUAGUUGGUGGAGUGAUUUGUCUGGUUAAUUCCGUUAACGAACGAGACCUUAACCUGCUAAAUAGUAACCGAAAGACUUCUAAAAAAACACGUUGGUGGCUAGGGUGAAGUUUCGAUGGAGCCUGACCCAUUAGCGUGUGGAUGACUUCCGGGAAUACUUCUUAGAGGGACUAUUUGUAUUAAAGCAAAUGGAAGUUUGAGGCAAUAACAGGUCUGUGAUGCCCUUAGAUGUCUUGGGCCGCACGCGCGCUACACUGAUAAGUUCAACGAGUUCUUCCACCUUGUUCGAUAGAACCGGGUAAUCUUCGAAAAACUUAUCGUGAUGGGGAUAGAUCAUUGUAAUUAUUGGUCUUCAACGAGGAAUUCCUAGUAAGCGUGAGUCAUCAGCUCGCGUUGAUUACGUCCCUGCCCUUUGUACACACCGCCCGUCGCUCCUACCGAUUGAAUGGUCCGGUGAAUUGUCCGGAGUAUGGUCAUGUUGGGGGCAACUUCAACAGAUCGUGCGAAGUUCAAUAAACCUUAUCAUUUAGAGGAAGGAGAAGUCGUAACAAGGUA